CCAACGGCCCUCUUUAGGGCCACAAGUUUAUGAAUCGUGCUGUACU
rfam:Loa loa cont3.732, whole genome shotgun sequence.